GUCGAUCGAGCUCUGUUGAGAACUGCGCUCUCUCUGUGCUUCACCGGAGUAGACAUAAACAAGUGAUUAAAAGCUAAAGGUUUAGUUUUCUGCAGUAGCAUACGCGCUGUCAGGGCUACAUCGGCAGAUUUUUCUGUGGCUAACAGAGAGGAUAGAUCGCUCUUCUGGGAAGACGUCGAAAAGUAACUAAGCCUCACUCACUCGGCCACAGGUAGCUGUUUCGGCUCUGAAUAUCAAAGUACAGGUCAUGCGGGUGUCUUCGGACGGACAGAGAGCUGUGAUCCAGUGCUGCUGUUACUGCUAGUGACUCCGGUGGACUGAUCGCUUUUGCCGCAAGCUGAGCAGGAACGACGGAAUUAAGCAUGUCCCGAAGAAAGCAGAGCAAACCCCGGCAAAUCAAACGGGUAGUUUUUCUCUCAAAGAGGCAUGAGAAAUACCCUCAGAUGCACCAUUCAUCUCUAUGGCGACCCGACUGGCUUGUAACCUUAGAGAUAUCGUUGCCGACAAUCGCACCUGCCCUCUGUGGACACAAAGAACAAUUUCCAGAGGAGGGAAACAGAUGGUGGGAAUCUUGGCAAAGCAAGUGAAAGUCCACUCCUGUACGUCAGCGUGUCCGCAGAGGUCCCGCCAGUGCUGCGCAAGCCCUGAGGCUCCCAGCUUAUCUACGGCUCCAGUGAUGCUGGUGACACGAGUCCCAUCCAGCCAGGUCUCUGUCUCAGCACUCGACUGGCUCAUCAGUCAUUUCAGCACAUUUUCAGCUGGCAGAUCAAUAGCUCCUUUUC
ensembl:lncRNA